GAGGAAUAUUGGUCAAUGGGCGAGAGCCUGAACCAGCCAAGUAGCGUGCAGGAUGACGGCCCUAUGGGUUGUAAACUGCUUUUGUAUGGGGAUAAAGUCAAUCACGUGUGAUUGUUUGCAGGUACCAUACGAAUAAGGACCGGCUAAUUCCGUGCCAGCAGCCGCGGUAAUACGGAAGGUCCGGGCGUUAUCCGGAUUUAUUGGGUUUAAAGGGAGCGUAGGCUGGAGAUUAAGUGUGUUGUGAAAUGUAGACGCUCAACGUCUGACUUGCAGCGCAUACUGGUUUCCUUGAGUACGCACAACGUUGGCGGAAUUCGUCGUGUAGCGGUGAAAUGCUUAGAUAUGACGAAGAACUCCGAUUGCGAAGGCAGCUGACGGGAGCGCAACUGACGCUGAAGCUCGAAGGUGCGGGUAUCGAACAGGAUUAGAUACCCUGGUAGUCCGCACAGUAAACGAUGGAUGCCCGCUGUUGGUACCUGGUAUCAGCGGCUAAGCGAAAGCAUUAAGCAUCCCACCUGGGGAGUACGCCGGCUACGGUG
rnacentral:rRNA from 1 species